rnacentral:rRNA from 1 species
GCAUUAUACCGUGAAACUGCGAAUGGCUCAUUAAAUCAGUUAUCGUUUAUUUGAUAAUCCCUUACUACUUGGAUAACCGUGGUAAUUCUAGAGCUAAUACAUGCUGAAAAUCCCGACUUCGGAAGGGAUGUGUUUAUUAGAUAAAAAACCAAUGCCCUUCGGGGCUUUUUGGUGAUUCAUGAUAACUUUACGGAUCGCAUAGCCUUGCGCUGGCGACGGUUCAUUCAAAUUUCUGCCCUAUCAACUUUCGAUGGUAAGGUAUUGGCUUACCAUGGUUUCAACGGGUAACGGGGAAUUAGGGUUCGAUUCCGGAGAGGGAGCCUGAGAAACGGCUACCACAUCCAAGGAAGGCAGCAGGCGCGCAAAUUACCCAAUCCCGACACGGGGAGGUAGUGACAAUAAAUACUGAUACAGGGCUCUUUUGGGUCUUGUAAUUGGAAUGAGUACAAUUUAAACCUCUUAACGAGGAACAAUUGGAGGGCAAGUCUGGUGCCAGCAGCCGCGGUAAUUCCAGCUCCAAUAGCGUAUAUUAAAGUUGUUGCAGUUAAAAAGCUCGUAGUUGAAACUUGGGCCUGGCUGGCGGGUCCGCCUCACCGCGUGCACUCGUCCGGCCGGGCCUUCCUUCUGAAGAACCUCAUGCCCUUCACUGGGCGUGCUGGGGAAUCAGGACUUUUACUUUGAAAAAAUUAGAGUGUUCAAAGCAGGCCUUUGCUCGAAUACGUUAGCAUGGAAUAAUAAAAUAGGGCGUGCGUUUCUAUUUUGUUGGUUUCUAGAGACGCCGCAAUGAUUAACAGGAACAGUCGGGGGCAUCAGUAUUCAGUUGUCAGAGGUGAAAUUCUUGGAUUUACUGAAGACUAACUACUGCGAAAGCAUUUGCCAAGGAUGUUUUCAUUAAUCAGUGAACGAAAGUUAGGGGAUCGAAGACGAUCAGAUACCGUCGUAGUCUUAACCGUAAACUAUGCCGACUAGGGAUCGGGCGAUGUUCUUUUUCUGACUCGCUCGGCACCUUACGAGAAAUCAAAG